AGAGUUUGAUCCUGGCUCAGGAUGAACGCUGGCGGUAUGCCCAUCACAUGCAAGUCGUACGAGAGUUUUUAACUCUAGUGGCGGACGGGUGAGUAACACGUGAGAAUUUGCCUUUAGGAGGGGGAUAACAAUUGGAAACGAAUGCUAAUACCCCAUAUGCUUUCGAGUGAAAUGAAUUUUUUAUUUGCCUAAAGAGAAGCUCGCGGCUGAUUAGCUUGUUGGUAAGGUAAGAGCUUACCAAGGCGACGAUCAGUAUCUGGUUUGAGAGGACGAUCAGACACACUGGAACUGAGACACGGUCCAGACUCCUACGGGAGGCAGCAGUGGGGAAUUUUCCGCAAUGGGCGAAAGCCUGACGGAGCAAUACCGCGUGAGGGAAGAAUGCCUAUGGGUUGUAAACCUCUUUUUUCAGGGAGGAAUAAAUGACGUGUACCUGAAGAAUAAGCAUCGGCUAACUCCGUGCCAGCAGCCGCGGUAAGACGGAGGAUGCAAGUGUUAUCCGGAAUCACUGGGCGUAAAGCGUCUGUAGGUGGUUUAAUAAGUCAACUGUUAAAUCUUGAGGCUCAACUUCAAAAUCGCAGCUGAAACUAUUAGACUAGAGUAUAGUAGAGGUAAAGGGAAUUUCCAGUGUAGCGGUGAAAUGCGUAGA
rnacentral:rRNA from 1 species